rnacentral:tRNA from 1 species
GCCUGGGUGGCUCAGUCGGUUAGGCGUCUGACUUCAGCUCAGGUCAUGAUCUCACUGUUUGUGAGUUUAAGUCCCACGUCAGGUG